rnacentral:rRNA from 1 species
UACGUAGGGUGCGAGCGUUGUCCGGAAUUAUUGGGCGUAAAGAGCUCGUAGGCGGUUUGUCACGUCGGAUGUGAAAUCCCGGGGCUUAACUCCGGGCCUGCAUUCGAUACGGGCUGACUAGAGUUCGGCAGGGGAGACUGGAAUUCCUGGUGUAGCGGUGAAAUGCGCAGAUAUCAGGAAGAACACCCGUGGCGAAGGCGGCUCUCUGGGACGGUACUGACGCUGAGACGCGAAAGCGUGGGGAGCGAACAGG